CCGUUAAAUAUUUUAUUGUUUUUCCAUCAAAUAAAGAAAAUUAAUGCACAGAGAAAAAGGCUAUCGUGUUCGUGUAUAAUCAACAAUCUGUCCUGGAGAAUUCAUUUUAUUUCAAAUAUCAAUUUUUUAUUCAUAACCUUGUCAGUUGAUAGCCUCUAUGCUUAUACUCUCUUUAUUUUCUCAAUGAAUGAAAACAGACACAUUAAUGGCAGAUUAGUUUGUUUGAGUAUGGAAAUCAUAUACAGCAUGCCUCCCACCCCCAUCGCUGGCAUUUGGCCCCUACGUCGCUGCGUAGUAUUAAUUAAUGUGCCCUGUGCGCUUCUGCAAUGGUUAUUUUAAUCAAUUCAUCGGGCAAUCUGCUGGAUUCUGUAUCGUAUAAUCGCUGUCACAAAUAAAACUGUCAUGAUGAUAUAUAAAUUUACUGGCCCUGAGCAUGAAUAAUUUUCCAUUAUUAUUACUUUUUUUAUAUGACCAGGUAUUCCAGCAUGCUAAUAUCAUUUCAAAUCCCAGCCAGAAUUUUUUUUUAAAUCCCCCAUUUUUUUUUUAUUAUGGACUAUUAUACAUGCUGGGCAAGUAAUUUCUUAAAGUUGAUGAAUAAUCAUCCUUCAGAUUUUUUUCCCCCAUUAAAAACAUUUAUGACAUCAUCAUAUAUCUUCUUGUCCAUGUGCAAAAAAUAAAAUACAUAAACAAAAAUUCAUAUCGCAAAAAAUAUUUUUUUUUUAUCAAAAUGGACUGUUUUUCAACCGCUCUAAGGCCAAGGUCUAAUAUUUCAUCAAUACUAUGUGUCACAGGUAUCAUUUCUCCCUUUCUCAUAAAUUAGAGAGAUAGAAGGAUUAAAGGUCAUAAUAUAUUUAGCAGAAUGAGUAAAUCCUGCUGGGACCCCUUUUUUGACAUCCAGGUCACUGCCAGCAGCUGUACCUUGAGAUACUAUCUCGAGAUAUCUCACUAAUUGUAACAGACAGAGAUGCAUCACCCACUCCGUGACUCCAACAACCAAUACCAGAUAGACAAAAAGAGGCGUCCAUUCCUCAAGAACUUCGGAAUUAUCAGUUUGGGUAACGUUGUAAAAAUGGCAAUGACAAGACGAGAUUGGUUUGGCUGUCAAAACAAAUGCAUAAAGUAUAUCCGAAAUCUUCCGACUGCUACAGAAUCCAGGCCCAUAGCCGUAUCACUGCCUGCAUAAUCUGAUUGAAUUAUCUCCCCUGAUAAUCACGACCUCACUACCAACAUACAAAUAUAUACCAGUACAACCCCUGUGAUCUUUGGAAAUCAGAAACAAUAGCAUGAAAUGUAUAACAAUUUAUGAUAAGUCACGGGGCACAUGUUUACUAGUCGUAAACCUAUAUUCAGCGGAGAAACAAUUCCAGGUUAAAGACUUGGGGGCUGGGUUUAUGAUAACAUAGCAGUGAUACCACCGAGUCUAUGAUGUUGUCAUUGUAUGCAAGUUUUAUUUUUUGUUCUCAGCAGGAUUAGAUUUGAACAGAAUUCUAAAAAUUGAGCUACAGAGGCGGGAAAAAGUAGAAAGAGCACCGUUUCACCAUUAGCUGCUGCACACAUCGUAUCUCCAGACAUCAACAAUGUGUGCACCUACAUGCCACUAUAUGCAAGCACAAUGACAUCUGACAGAAGUGCCUGCAUUGUGAGGAGAGAUGGUGUAAUUCUAGAUGAUGUAAUUAGUUUUUUCCAUUUAGAGACUUGGAGAGGGUGCUUCAUAGUCCCCUCCCCUCAUGACUGUCACCCUACCAGCUCCUCAAAAUCCUGCCCACAAUUUUAAAUUCUGACUUUUAUCACCUCUUUAUCGGUAUUAUCUAUUAAAGGUGUGUAAAAUAACAGAGUGGCAUUUUCUGGUAAUAUCUACUGAGUUUUUAAAGGUCUGAACCACAAGGAGAAAAAAAAACUGUUUAAAGAAAAAUAUUAUUGCUGAACAGCAUCAAAUUCCCUGACAGACAAAUUUAUGGCAGGGUGAGAAAUUAGAAAAACUUUUCAAAUCCCAAGGUGUCUCAGUUUACAGUUAAACUAUUUCGUUUUGAGUUCUUGAGGUAGAAAUCUCCACCUCAUUGUGUUGUUUUUGUGGACUGGUGUCUUCCUAAUGACAGCAUGUCAAAACUGACCUAUUAUCGAAUACUGGAUGUUGAGCAGACUUUCUCCUUGAAAUGUCCAUGGAACACAAUAACAAUUGAUAUCCUAAUCCAAUGCUGAAUUGCACAAUAAAUGAAAAACUUGUUUAUUAAAAAUAAUCAUUGAAUUUCGCUUUGCCUCCGCUCGGGGAACGGUAUUCAACUCUGCACAAUAUUGAAUAGCCAAUUCUAAUAUUGAUAAAAACUUGUGUAAAAAAUCCAUACAAACAAUUUCCUCUCAAGUUAAAUGGGAAAAUUGACAGAUUAGCUUUGCACUAUGAAAAUGAAAUGAGUUUUCUAAUACAUAAUCUUUGUCGUUCUCCGCGACCCUAAUUUCCUGCUGUGAAGAAUUUGUGCACCCAAAAAGAGGGUGGUUGGCAUUCUACCCUUUUGUUCCGUCCAUGUCACUCCUCUAAGUGGUAUUGAAAAAUCUAUAGGCGAGUUGAAUCUCCUUUUACAAGGAGGAAAAUAAUUAACGAGUUUAAAGAUAUAGAAAAUGCAGUUUACAAUUGUGUACCGAAAAUAGAGCUAGAGAUACUUGCUCCUAUUGUUCAAAUUUGUGAGCUCUUUACACAGUUGGAAAACAGAAGAAUUGCAGAUGAGAUUUGAACAUGUGGCAGACAUAUUGGAUUGGACCCAGCAUCUCCAUCGAAAAAAAAAAAAAAACGAGAAAUCCAUGAAUAAUGACACUUGUCAAAAAUCAUUAGAGUAAAUCUGCGAUAAAAAAAGCGGAUUUACAGCGCGAGGAAAAAGAGCGAGGCAGAAAGCAUUUUAUUUAUCUACGGCACUAGAUGGUGUCACUUCCUAUCACAACUCUGCAAACACAUGAAUCUCUUUACGGAGAUCGAUACUACUACCACUAGCAGAUAAUGGCGCUGCACUUACCUAAUUCUUAUUACACUAAUAUUCAGACAAGAAUCCUAAUUAUUCAAGUUUGAUAAGAAUCUAGUUGACAAAUAGGAUGCAUUAGGAGGACUCUUCACCACUACAAGAUCAAUUAACAGCUUUGUUAUCUGUCGGUUCUCAUAAUUCCCCCCAAAAAAUCAAUUUGGACUGUCUGGAAAAAAUUAUGACUUUUGUUGGAAAUGACUUCAUCCUUUUUUUAUUAACUUUGUUGGGUAAAUGCAUCUAUUUUUUUUUAUGUAAGAAUACGAAAACAGCCAUAAACUCAUCUUAUCUUGCAAAAAAUUGUCAGAAAUAUUCAAAGUGAACUAACCUUCAAAUUCUUGAAAAUUUUGCACCCAAAGGUUGCUUUUUCCAUGCU